GUCUACGGCCAUGCCACCCUGAACAAGCCCAAUCUCGUCUGAUCUUGGAAGCUAAGCAGGGUCAGGCCUUAUUAGUAUUUGGAUUCCUAGGAGAUCACCUAGGAAGACCAGGUGCUGUAGGUG
rnacentral:rRNA from 1 species